GCGGGAGUAGUUCAAUGGUAGAACCUUAGCCUUCAAGCUAAUGACGCGGGUUCGAUUCCCGCUUCCCGCUCCA
rnacentral:tRNA from 1 species